rnacentral:lncRNA from 1 species
ACUGCAACAAAAUGUACGAUUCAGGGGCACUAAAUGCGUCUGCAAUGCACGUCUACUUGUGUUUUAUCUGAUUACAAAGACCCAUGAGCACCCACCGGAGACGAUGUAAUUGGAAAAUCACAGAGAAGCCCGAGGAGACGGCGGGCCCACUCCCACCCGGCUGUGCCCUGUUCUGUUUUGACUUCUUCAUUCCCACAUUCUCAUUACCCACAAUUUUAAAAAUAAAAAAAAAAUUGUGGUCUUCCUCUCCACAUGCUUUUUCCCCUCUUGGAAUAUUGUGACUACUUUUGUGUGGUAAGUUAAAAAAAAAAGAAGGCAUAUCACCGAGUCUCUUUUUACGGUGGUAAAAUGUGCACAGUAUAAAAUUCACCGUCUUAACCAUUUGCAGGCUUGCAGUUGGGUGGCGCCCAGUACCUGCACUUCCUGGGGCCACCAGCCCACUGUCUGUCCCCCGAGCUUUUCCGUCUUCCCAAAUGGAAGGUCUGCACCCACUAAACCCGGCUCCCCCUGCCCUCUCCACCCGCCCCACCCCUUGUGUUGUCUUUAACUCUGGAAAACCACCUUCCCACGGGUGUGGGCACCCUCUGCUCCGCCAGCACAGAUAGUUGGGAAUGUGCCGUAAGCACAAAGACAGAUGGUUUCAUUCAUUCUGGAAGGUUCCACAAACUACACAGCACCCAGCUCAGUGGUGUGCUUUGAGCAAGAAAAUCUGAUGAUGAGCUUCUUCCUCAAAGUCCCCAAUAUUUCCUCUUGGUCGCCCCUGGGCAAGAUGAAGGGGGGACGGCUCUCUGUUCUCCGCAUCUUUCCUCCAUUCUCCUGCUAAGUUAAUUAUUUUUGGUGCUUUGACAAAAAUAUAGUUUGGGAACAGCGCAGGUAAGCAGUGUGUUGAUGGUGACGCUGUAGCGUGGGUCCUAAUUAUGCCCUCAGAAGCAUUUACGGGGACGUGGGACAGAGUAUCUGUAAUUCCAUAUAAUAGUCUCUUCCAGGGUGUGUGACAUGGGGACAGGGACGGUAUUUAUAGAGCGUGGUGCUGCAGCUACAGAGGACGAGCAGGACCAGGGUGGGAGAGCGCGGCGGACCCCGGGGUACGUCCCUUCCAGGAGGCUGCAAGACUCAACAGACACAGCCCCCCUCCCUUCCUCGGGUGCUUAUUAAAUGGGCGCUCUCUGCGAGGCGCUAAGGUGACAGUGUGAGCCACUGGGCACACGCAGCCUGGAGCUCCAAGGAAUAAACAGGUGAACAACUACAUAAAAUAGUGACAGAUCGGCAUAAAUUCAGUGCGGGAAAUAAAUGUCAGGCUGUGAUGGAGAGUGAUAGCAGAGACACAUCUGAGAUGGUUCUCGGGGUGGCUUCUCCUAACAGGUGGCAUUUAAGCUGGAAGAGAAAGAUGAGAGGACUUGGCUGGAGGAGGGGGGGUGGGGAGGGAGGCCAGGAGAGGGGGGAGCAGGAGCAAGAGGAGGAGCAAUCUGGGGGACGGGACCGGAGCAGAGCCCU